rnacentral:rRNA from 1 species
UAACACGUAUCCAACCUGCCGUCUACUCUUGGACAGCCUUCUGAAAGGAAGAUUAAUACAAGAUGGCAUCAUGAGUUCACAUGUUCACAUGAUUAAAGGUAUUCCGGUAGACGAUGGGGAUGCGUUCCAUUAGAUAGUAGGCGGGGUAACGGCCCACCUAGUCUUCGAUGGAUAGGGGUUCUGAGAGGAAGGUCCCCCACAUUGGAACUGGGACACGGUCCAAACUCCUACGGGAGGCAGCAGUGAGGAAUAUUGGUCAAUGGGCGAGAGCCUGAACCAGCCAAGUAGCGUGAAGGAUGACUGCCCUAUGGGUUGUAAACUUCUUUUAUAAAGGAAUAAAGUCGGGUAUGCAUACCCGUUUGCAUGUACUUUAUGAAUAAGGAUCGGCUAACUCCGUGCCAGCAGCCGCGGUAAUACGGAGGAUCCGAGCGUUAUCCGGAUUUAUUGGGUUUAAAGGGAGCGUAGAUGGAUGUUUAAGUCAGUUGUGAAAGUUUGCGGCUCAACCGUAAAAUUGCAGUUGAUACUGGAUAUCUUGAGUGCAGUUGAGGCAGGCGGAAUUCGUGGUGUAGCGGUGAAAUGCUUAGAUAUCACGAAGAACUCCGAUUGCGAAGGCAGCCUGCUAAGCUGCAACUGACAUUGAGGCACGAAAGUGUGGGUAUCAAACAGGAUUAGAUACCCUGGUAGUCCACACGGUAAACGAUGAAUACUCGCUGU